GGAGGCUACCAUUUCCUAGCUGAUCCAUCAACCACACGUGCUACUACAGAGGCAUAUCUCAUCUGGACCUUUUCCACUAACUGAAGCCUGAUUCGUGUAUUCAAUACUGUAUCCAGGAAUAGGCAUGCAUUUAGGGGGCUCGGAUUGACGUGAUCCGGAUUGACAGGGGUUCAGACUGACGUGAUCCGGAUAGACAGGGGUUCAGACUGACGGUGUCCGGAAUGACAGGGCUUCAGAUUGACGGAAUCCGUAUUGACAGGGGUCCAUGUUUUUUAUUAUUUUUCCUUACACAACUGUUUCAUUUUAUCUUCACGAAGAUUGCGCCAGAUUGCGAGGAUUAUUCAGCAAUAUAUUUAAUUUUAUAACUGUUGGACAAUAAUGACAUACAAUAACAGCAAAUGAUACUCAUCCCCAAAACCAUUAAUUAUCUCAGAUAGUUCAUCAAAAUUGCAAUAUUUGUAAUUCCUAUUCAUAUUAGCAUAACAGCCAGUUUCUAGUUGUAACUUGUUAGCAAAUAUUCAGAGCAUAGUGUACACAUGUGAAAUGUCUAGGUACAUUUGGUAACUGAAAAUAGCGCUGAUAUUUCCAUAAAGAUAACGUUUUGAGGAGUGAUGGGCAUAUGGACCAUUUCUUUCUUAUAUGGAAUUAUUUUAAAUUAUAUUCAUUUUUUCUUAUGUUUCAUGUCUUUGCUUAAUAAUUGCCUCAUUAUCUGUCGACCAAUAUCCCCUUCGCUAGGUGUAGUUCAUGCCAUAUGUUUAUAUCGUACAUUUUCUUUAUGUCGUAGGUCUCCAGGACAAGACGCGCUUGAAAAGUCAAAACUUGGAAUUAUGUGAUACACAUCCCGUGUGGACUUACGAGAAUAUGAUUGUUUAUCCAUUGGUGUUGAUUGUUUCAUUUAAGAGUAUAAGAUUAAAACAUUUCUAUGUGA